rnacentral:rRNA from 1 species
UACAACUUUCAACAACGGAUCUCUUGGCUCUCGCAUCGAUGAAGAACGCAGCGAAAUGCGAUACGUAAUGUGAAUUGCAGAAUUCAGUGAAUCAUCGAAUCUUUGAACGCACCUUGCGCCCCUUGGCAUUCCGAGGGGCACGCCCGUUUGAGUGUCGUGA